rnacentral:rRNA from 1 species
ACUCCUACGGGAGGCAGCAGUGGGGAAUAUUGCACAAUGGGCGCAAGCCUGAUGCAGCCAUGCCGCGUGUGUGAAGAAGGCCUUCGGGUUGUAAAGCACUUUCAGUUGUGAGGAAGGUGGUGUCGUUAAUAGCGGCAUCAUUUGACGUUAGCAACAGAAGAAGCACCGGCUAACUCCGUGCCAGCAGCCGCGGUAAUACGGAGGGUGCGAGCGUUAAUCGGAAUUACUGGGCGUAAAAGCGCAUGCAGGUGGUUUGUUAAGUCAGAUGUGAAAGCCCGGGGCUCAACCUCGGAACUGCAUUUGAAACUGGCAGACUAGAGUACUGUAGAGGGGGGUAGAAUUUCAGGUGUAGCGGUGAAAUGCGUAGAGAUCUGAAGGAAUACCGGUGGCGAAGGCGGCCCCCUGGACAGAUACUGACACUCAGAUGCGAAAGCUGGGGAGCAAACAGGAUUAGAU